GUGUCAGCCGUUUUAGCGUUCAUUUUUGACAGUGUUGUGAGCGGUAACGGUCAUUUUGCAAAGUUUUCACCUCAUACUGAGCGGUACUUAUAAAAAUGGCACAUACCGCUGCCGAAAAAAUUAAGCGGUAUAGGGAACGAAUAAAAAGUGAUCCCCAAAAAUAUGAAGAGUAUCGUAAGAAAAAUAUAGACCGACUUAAACAAAAGCGCAAGAAGAUUUUGAUUUUUUUUUGAAGUUAAAUGAAACAGCAUUUUUGGUGCUAUAAUUGUGAUUUUAGACGCCUAGACACAAUAGAUUUUCUAUUGUGUCUGUGAUUCCGGGGGCUGAGGGAUUAAGAACAACUUUUUAUACUAAGUGAAAAUUUUAAAACCUAAGCUCGUUUUAAAAACAAUUAUAGACUGAAUUGUUGAUUUUUGAUCUCAUGUAAACAUGUGCCUUAAAUAAUACCUAAUGUAAUGAAAGUCAAAUAAAAAUGAUGAAAAGUAAGGUAA